rnacentral:rRNA from 1 species
CCUACGGGUGGCAGCAGUAGGGAAUCUUCCACAAUGGACGAAAGUCUGAUGGAGCAACGCCGCGUGAGUGAAGAAGGGUUUCGGCUCGUAAAGCUCUGUUGGUAGUGAAGAAAGAUAGAGGUAGUAACUGGCCUUUAUUUGACGGUAAUUACUUAGAAAGUCACGGCUAACUACGUGCCAGCAGCCGCGGUAAUACGUAGGUGGCAAGCGUUGUCCGGUUUUAUUGGGCGGAAAGCGAGUGCGGGCGGUUCAAUAAGUCUGAUGGGAAAGCCUUCGGCUCAACCGGAGAAUUGCAUCAGAAACUGUUGGACUUGAGUGCAGGAGAGGGGAGUGGAACUCCAUGUGUAGCGGUGGAAUGCGUAGAUAUAUGGAAGAACACCGGUGGCGAAGGCGGCUCUCUGGUCUGCAACUGACGCUGAGGCUCGAAAGCAUGGGUAGCGAACAGGAUUAGAUACCCCAGUAGUC